rnacentral:rRNA from 1 species
UACGUAGGGUGCAGGCGUUAAUCGGAAUUACUGGGCGUAAAGCGUGCGCAGGCGGUCUGCUAAGAGAGGUGUGAAAUCCCCGGGCUUAACCUGGGAACUGCGCUUCUAACUGGCAGGCUAGAGUGUGGCAGAGGGGGGUGGAAUUCUUGGUGUAGCGGUGAAAUGCGUAGAUAUCAAGAGGAACACCUGCGGCGAAGGCGGGUUGCUGGGCCGACACUGACGCUGAGGCGCGAAAGCCAGGGGAGCGAACGGG